rnacentral:rRNA from 1 species
CGUGGGCAACCUGCCUGUAAGACUGGGAUAACUCCGGGAAACCGGGGCUAAUACCGGAUAACUCUUUUCCUCACAUGAGGAAAAGCUGAAAGAUGGUUUCGGCUAUCACUUACAGAUGGGCCCGCGGCGCAUUAGCUAGUUGGUGAGGUAACGGCUCACCAAGGCCACGAUGCGUAGCCGACCUGAGAGGGUGAUCGGCCACACUGGGACUGAGACACGGCCCAGACUCCUACGGGAGGCAGCAGUAGGGAAUCUUCCGCAAUGGACGAAAGUCUGACGGAGCAACGCCGCGUGAGUGAUGAAGGUUUUCGGAUCGUAAAACUCUGUUGUCAGGGAAGAACAAGUACCGGAGUAACUGCCGGUACCUUGACGGUACCUGACCAGAAAGCCACGGCUAACUACGUGCCAGCAGCCGCGGUAAUACGUAGGUGGCAAGCGUUGUCCGGAAUUAUUGGGCGUAAAGCGCGCGCAGGCGGUUCCUUAAGUCUGAUGUGAAAGCCCCCGGCUCAACCGGGGAGGGUCAUUGGAAACUGGGGAACUUGAGUGCAGAAGAGAAGAGUGGAAUUCCACGUGUAGCGGUGAAAUGCGUAGAGAUGUGGAGGAACACCAGUGGCGAAGGCGACUCUUUGGUCUGUAACUGACGCUGAGGCGCGAAAGCGU